rnacentral:rRNA from 1 species
CCUACGGGAGGCAGCAGUGAGGAAUAUUGGUCAAUGGGCGAGAGCCUGAACCAGCCAAGUCGCGUGAGGGAGUACUGCCCUAUGGGUUGUAAACCUCUUUUGUCGGGGAGCAAAAGCCGGACGUGUCCGGCUGUGAGAGUACCCGAAGAAAAAGCAUCGGCUAACUCCGUGCCAGCAGCCGCGGUAAUACGGAGGAUGCGAGCGGUAUACGGAUUUAUUGGGUUUAAAGGGUGCGCAGGCGGAUUUUUAAGUCAGCGGUCAAAUCGUGGGGCUCAACCCCAUCCAGCCGUUGAAACUGGGGGUCUAGAGUGUGAGAGAGGUAUGCGGAAUGCGUGGUGUAGCGGUGAAAUGCAUAGAUAUCACGCAGAACCCCGAUUGCGAAGGCAGCAUACCGGUGCACAACUGACGCUCAGGCACGAAAGCGUGGGUAUCGAACAGGAUUAGAUACCCGGGUAGUC